rnacentral:rRNA from 1 species
GACGAACGCUGGCGGCGUGCUUAACACAUGCAAGUCGAACGGAAAGGCCUGCUUUCCCUUGUGGAUUGCGGGUACUCGAGUGGCGAACGGGUGAGUAACACGUGAGUGAUCUGCCCCCAACUUGGGUAUAAGCCUGGGAAACUGGGUCUAAUUCCCGAUAGGACUGCAGGGUGGUGCCUGUGGUGGAAAACGAUUUUCUAGUGGUUGGGGAUGAGCUCGCGGCCUAUCAGCUUGUUGGUGGGGUAAUGGCCUACCAAGGCGGCGACGGGUAGCCGGUCUGAGAGGAGGAGGAGUGACGGCCGCAUUGAGACACGGUCCAGGCUCCGACGCGAAGGGGCGGCGGGGGAGGUGAGAAUAGGGGAGUGGGCCGGAGCCAGCUGCGGCGAGGGCGCGAGGGGGAUGUCGGCCUUGGGGAUGUAAACUCCUUGCGAGGGAGAGGAGUCAACCUGGUUGGAGGUGUUGUGACGGUAGUGGUAGAAGAAGCACCGGCUAACUACGUG